CAGCAUGACACUGGCACCAAAUCAAGAACUGGCCCAGGGCAGGCAAGCUGGUGAACGCAUUUCAGCAUGACACCUCUCCAUGACUCCUAAAGGCUUUGCCCACUUGGGCAGAAGAUGAACCAGAAGGCCAAGCCAGAUCUGAUGGUGUUUUCUCUGGCAGGAUACAUGAGGGAAAGAACACCAAGGAGCACAUCCCAUCCCAGCCAGACUCCACUGACUCCUCAUCGCGUUCUUCUCUGGACACAACAAAGUGUCAGGCAGAACAGCCAUAGCAUACUAUGCUCAAGUCUCCACUCACGGUUUAUAAGGCAGAGCUGGAAGAAACCUUGAAGCCCCAGGAGCCAAAUGCCUCUCAUUUAACACUAGGAGAUCCUGGGGUGAGAGGGCUUUGGUGUCCCUGACCUCAGCAGUAAGGAGACUCAGAAAUGUGUCUUUCCUGAAUGUUUCUCCUCCUUUUUAUGUCAGUGUUUUAUUGAUUCAAACAGAAAGUUAAGCUUUUAUGACCUUGGGGCAAGCCAUUGUUCUAAUAUUUGAUGCUGUUAAGUCACUUAAGAUGAAAAGGAAGUGGAAAAAGCAUAUUAACAUGAAAAUAUGAUACCAUUUUUUUCUUGGCUUGGGUAAUCUUGAACUGUUUCUCUUCUGGAGUCAGUGUGAUACUGUUGUAUGAACAUGAUAUUUAGGGUCAGAAAUCAAGGUUUGAUUCCAGAAGUUACCAAUUAUUAAUCUGGCCUUGUCCAGGCUACUAAGCUUCUUAAUUAAUAGGUGUAAUGAUAUCUACCUCCUAGAAUUUUGAGAAGAUUAAUCAGCUAAGUAGAAGAAAUAAUAAGUGUUAAAUCUAUAAAACACAAUAGAAAUUCAGGAAAGGUAAGUCUCUACCCAAGUCUGUCCUUUCCUAAGAGACAAAGUUUUAAUGAGGACACCACUUAAUUUUAACAUGAAUAUAAUCACUUCUUUGUUAAUCAUUUCCUCCUAGAUCGAAAACUGACACAGAGCUCAUUUUUCUUCUCUCCAUCUGCUUGCUAAUUUAUAAAGUGAGGAGAUUGGAUUGGAUUUCACCUCCAAUGUCCUUCCAGAAUCUUCUUUCUAGCUUUUCUUUAGCCUAGCAAAAUCUAGUUU
rnacentral:lncRNA from 1 species